rnacentral:rRNA from 1 species
UACGUAGGUGACCAGCGUUGUCCGGAUUUACUGGGCGUAAAGGGCUCGUAGGUGGCCCCAUAAGUCAGACGUGAAAUCCCUCGGCUCAACCGAGGAACUGCGUCUGAGACUGCGGGGCCUGAAUCCGGGAGAGGGAUGCGGAAUUCCAGGUGUAGCGGUGAAAUGCGUAGAUAUCUGGAGGAACACCGGUGGCGAAGGCGGCAUCCUGGACCGGUAUUGACACUGAGGAGCGAAAGCCAGGGGAGCAAACGGG